rnacentral:lncRNA from 1 species
UGUGAAUUGUCGUCCACGGUCGCUGAUGAUGACGCGAGGCGGACCAUGUCGCAGGAUGACAUAUUUCAGCAGGAAUGUUGAAACCUUCAAACAAAGUGGUG